AAUCUCCCACCUCUCCCCGUCCAUCUCUCUGCCCCGCUUCACCCAGGGCUUUGACCCCCAGCUCAGCCCUUGCCCCUUCCCAGAUGCCAAGACAGUCCCCGACCCAGAUGCCCUCAAUGAGCCCGGUUCCAGCCCCCAACCCUUCGGCUACAGCUACUAGACCCCCCAGUAAAAUAAAGUUCUCAGUGCAUCCCGUGCUUCAGUCUCCUACCGGGCCUUCGCCUGCUGCAGGCAAUGCUGCAAAACAACCUGAAGCAACCCCCAGCGCUGCUAACUCCAACCCCAUCAACACCACUGCCACCACCACCGCCACCACCACCACCACCCCCAACACGUCUGCGGUCCAUGCUGCAUCCUCCUCCAAUACCCCCAACCAAGCGCCGACCACCGCUGCUAUUCCGACCCAUUCUCCAAAACUCGGUGCACACCCUGCACACACUGCCCACAGCGCUCAGCCACCCGCCCAGCCACCUGCUGCGACCUCCCACGGAGCAGCCCUCCCCCAGGCAGCCGGUCCCCCGGCUGCCACCCAGACCGGCUCCCACAACACUGCCAAGAAAGACCCAGAGCUGCCUCUGGCCAGGAAGGACUCUGAGGGACUGAGACACAAACUCGCUGCCAACAUGUAGAGGAGAAGGAGAGUGGAGGGAGAGAGCCAGCAGGUCCCAGCGGAGCUCAUGAACUGGUUUUGUAGGGGCUCUGGGUUUUGUAGGGGCAGCUGUUUAGCAGAGCAGUUGGGGUUUACAGGUGUUUAAAGCUGUUUUCUGUACCCCUUUCUGUUGGAGAUGAACAUUACUUGAUGAGACGGGUUACCGCAUCAUUGACAUGUUGUAUCUGACUCACAAUCACAGACUGAAUGUGAUUCGUCCUAAGUGAUGAGAACAACAGGUGUUUGUGAGAUUCUUGACGAAGCAAUCAAUCCAGUAAGAUGCUAUAUGUAUAUUUAGCAGGGCAGUCUAGGGUAGGGUUAAAGGUUGAAUCAAAGUGUAAUCAUAUCUGUGAUUGUGGAGGAAGGCAGGGGAGCUGAAGGGGAAAUGACAUCACAGCACAGAUGUAGGCUAAAGCAAUAGCUGGGAGUCAGGAGAGACGGUUGUAUAUCUGUGCAUUUUCUUAAUCAUAAAAAACAAUAAGCUUUUAGUCUUAUGAGACACUGAGAAAAAAAGGUUUAGGGUAUUAUCAGAUAGCAGAAAAAGAAAAGAACACAAUCUUGUUUUAAAAAGAAGAGUGUCACUACAUUCCUCAUGCAGCUAAUCAGCAGAUACUUCCAGGUUUCCAGCUCCGCCCCCUCUCGCUUCCCAUUGCUCACCAAGGUGUAAUACUUUAUCACCGGAUCAAUAGCUAUAAGGUUGUAUUGAAUUAUUACUGUGAAGUUGUUCUCAUAGCAAUCCAAACUAUUAGCAGCAGUUCUCUCGUAGUUUUGUUGUUCCAGAUGCGUGGUGUUUAGCUUUUUUCGAGUAAGACAAAAAAAGUCUUAAACCUUCAUGGUCACACUGCAAAAAAAACUGUUUAAAGAAGGAUGUGUUUUUGUGUCACAUUUAAUAUUGCUCCUUUGUACAUUGUGGCUUUGAGUUAUAUGUGCUCCACCUCACUCCUUGUAAAUAAGUUAAAGUCUGUGUUCGCCUCCUCCUUCCACACUUUGUCUUUCCCUCUCUGCCAUCUUGGCCUAUUUUCAUCUCUUUAUCAGGGUUGAAAAUCACUCCAUUCCUCUCACCUGUUUUUGUUUUUGUGUUGUUUUAUUAUGGCCACGUGCUCAGUUCCAGCCCCCUCCUCUUGUAUGUCACUCCGCCGCGCCCUUUGUGGGAGCUCCAGUAAUGUUUGGUGUUUUGUGUGGUAGCUACCUGUUCCUAAAUUAACCCCUUGAUACCACGUUGCCUAGACUUUACAUUCAAGGACAAAAUCUUUAUUUUAUAUUUAUCUCAGCAUUAGCUUUGGAGCAAACCUACGCCUAAACAACGCUAUUAGAGAAAGAUGAUGACGUUGGUGCAAAUCAUUAGGAUGACAUUGUUUGAAAAAGAGAAAAAACAUACUUGAUUAGGAUGUUGCCGAGGAUGGUGAAGACAGCUGUGUAUCUGUGGUUGUAAGAAUAAAGCAGAUUUAUUGUUGACUAUGUGCUUACUGAAGUGUGUCGAUGUGUUAACUUUAACAGCGUUUGCAUGUACACCUGUUCUUACACUUAUAUAUAAUUAUGUCAUUAUGAAAGCAUGACUGAAUGAAUUAAAG
ensembl:lncRNA